UAACUUAAAUUUACUUUUUCAAAAUUUAAUUUUCAUUUUAUUUCAAAUUUCUAUUACUAUACUAAUUUACUAUAAAUUUUUUUAAUUUUUUCUAUUAAAAUACUUUAACCCCCAUUAUUUAUUUUAAUAUUAAAAUUAUUUUUAUUAAAUUUAUAUUUAUUAAUUUUUAAUUUAU
rnacentral:rRNA from 1 species